rnacentral:rRNA from 1 species
AUUGAACGCUAGCGGCAUGCCUUACACAUGCAAGUCGAACGAGUGGCGGACGGGUGAGUAAUAUCUGGGAACGUGCCUGAUGGCGGGGGAUAACUACUGGAAACGGUGGCUAAUACCGCAUACCAUCGGAUGUGCCCAUAUGGGAUUAGCUAGUUGGUGGGGUAAAGGCUCACCAAGGCGACGAUCCCUAGCUGGUCUGAGAGGACGACCAGCCACACUGGAACUGAGACACGGUCCAGACUCCUACGGGAGGCAGCAGUGGGGAAUUUUGGACAAUGGGCGAAAGCCUGAUGCAGCCAUGCCGCGUGUAUGAUGAAGGCCUUCGGGUUGUAAAGUACUUUUAGCAGAGAAGCGGUACCUGCAGAAUAAGCACCGGCUAACUACGUGCCAGCAGCCGCGGUAAUAC